rnacentral:rRNA from 1 species
AGAGUUUGAUCCUGGCUCAGAUUGAACGCUGGCGGCGUGCCUAACACAUGCAAGUCGAGCGGUAACAGGUGUAGCAAUACAUGCUGACGAGCGGCGAACGGGUGAGUAAUGCUUUGGAAUCUUCCCAGUAGUGGGGAAUAACCAGUCGAAAGAUUGGCUAAUACCGCAUACGUCUGUAAAGGGAAAGCGGGGGCUCGUAAGACCUCGCGCUAUUGGAUGAGCCAAAGUCGGAUUAGCUAGUUGGUGGGGUAAUGGCCUACCAAGGCGACAAUCCGUAGCUGGUCUGAGAGGACGACCAGCCACACCGGAACUGAGACACGGUCCGGACUCCUACGGGAGGCAGCAGUGGGGAAUAUUGGACAAUGGGGGAAACCCUGAUCCAGCGACGCCGCGUGUGUGAAGAAGGCCUGCGGGUUGUAAAGCACUUUUAGUGGGGACAAAAAGCUACGGAUUAAUACUCUGUGGUCUUGAUUUAACCCAAAGAAAAAGCACCGGCUAACUCUGUGCCAGCAGCCGCGGUAAUACAGAGGGUGCGAGCGUUAAUCGGAAUUACUGGGCGUAAAGCGCGCGUAGACGGUUUUGUAAGUCAGAUGUGAAAUCCCUGGGCUCAACCUGGGAAC